AUUGAACGCUGGCGGCAGGCUUAACACAUGCAAGUCGAGCGGAGAUGAGGUGCUUGCACCUUAUCUUAGCGGCGGACGGGUGAGUAAUGCUUAGGAAUCUGCCUAUUAGUGGGGGGACAACAUUCCGAAAGGAAUGCUAAUACCGCAUACGCCCUACGGGGGAAAGCAGGGGAUCUUCGGACCUUGCGCUAAUAGAUGAGCCGAAGUCGGAUCAGCUAGUUGGUGGGGUAAAGGCCUACCAAGGCGACGAUCUGUAGCGGGUCUGAGAGGAUGAUCCGCCACACUGGGACUGAGACACGGCCCAGACUCCUACGGGAGGCAGCAGUGGGGAAUAUUGGACAAUGGGCGGAAGCCUGAUCCAGCCAUGCCGCGUGUGUGAAGAAGGCCUUUUGGUUGUAAAGCACUUUAAGCGAGGAGGAGGCUACCUGGAUUAAUACUCUAGGAUAGUGGACGUUACUCGCAGAAUAAGCACCGGCUAACUCUGUGCCAGCCGCCGCGGUAAAAC
rnacentral:rRNA from 1 species